AAGACCCUACACAAAAACCACCUCUUUGACCAAGCUUUAAAUCACCCUUCCUAACAUCUUCCUUUGGUUUGGCGUCCAUUUUUUUUUACUGACACCACUGUGAAACACCAUUGGGCAUUUUCAACAUUGAAAUUGUUUAUCAAAUGCAAGUUAUUGUCACACUGUAUUGCUUCAUAUUUAUUUAUACAGGUUAUGAGAUAAAUAUACAUAAAGGUGGGUUUGGAUGGAAGGACUGGGCAACUGCUGCAUGUUUACAGUAUGUGCUACAUCACACAUACCAUUGAACUGAAUCAGGGUUUCAUAAGAUAUAUUUUUGCAAAGUAAUUGGAACAAUAAAUAUAAACAAUGUCAUCAGGGCACAAUGAUUGGUUCCUGGUUUAAGAAUGGUCACCGAAGUGAAGUUCUUCAAUCAAAUAGGCUCUUCUAAUUCCCUGUCAUGAGACUGGGAACAAGAUGCAAAGUGCAAAGGAAGCCUACUUUGUGAGAGCAUCCUAUGUUAUGUAAAGAUCCCCUCAAAGAAGGAUAAAAGAUGACCAUUGAAAUGAGAAUGACUGUCCAUAAAUGAUAUAUGUUUAUUAUAUGGAUUAUUACACCUUAAUGUCAAAAGAAAUGCAGGGAGCAGCAACCGCCAGUCCGCCCUGCUUCUGUGGAUCUCACGAAAGCAUUUGAUACCAUGAGCAGGAUGGGCCUCUAUGAAAUACUAGAGAAAAUCAGCCGAGCUCCCAGGCUUCGCAGUCUCGUACACUCCUUUCAUGAUAACAUGCACGGCACCAUUCCGUUGGACUGCUCCAGCUCUGACCGUUUUGAGCCUUAUCCCCUACUCAGUUUUGCAUCUUUUUUUCUGUCCUCCUGACCUAUGCGUUCCCUGCUGACAUGGAAGGAUCAGAUGGGGAACUCCUCAACCUGUCAAGACUGAAAUUAAAGACAAAAGUGCUAAAGUCUUGAUCAGAGAACCUCUGUAUGCAGAUGCUGCUGCAGUAGUUGCCCAGACAAGACCAGCUCCAAAAGACUCACGGAUCGUCUGUCCCAUGUCUGUGUCAUGUUCUCCCUCACCAUCAGUGUGAAGAAAACUGUAGUUAUGGGAUAGGGUGUUGUGUCUCUGCCUGUGAUCAGGCUCAACAACACAUUACUGGAAGCAGUCUGCAAAUUCUGCUACCAUGGAUCUAUGGUGACAGACAACCUGUCCCUUAACAAAGAGCUCAGCACAUGCAUUGGAAAGACAGCCACCAACUUUGGCCCACUGACAAAACUGACCCGUAGGACCAAGAUGCUUAUCUACAAGGCCUGUACCUUCUGCACAUUGCUGAUUGAUAGCAAAGCCUGGACAACUUACAGCUACCAAGAAAAAAGGCUAACCAGCUUCCAUCUUCAGCCCUUAUGAUGCAUGCUCAGCACCAAAUGGAAAGACCAAUGAAGCAGUCCUUUCCAGGGCAAACAUGCCAAGUGUGCUAGAGCUAAUCAAGUAAAGAAGGUUUUGCCGGCUUGGGCAUAUGCAUAGGAUGGAAGAUGAUCGCAUCCCCUAGGAUAUGCUAUACAGGGAAGUAGCCCAUGACAGGAGAACAGCAGAACACCCAAAGCUCCGAUUCAAGGAAGCUGUCAAAAGAGACAUGAAAGCCUACAAUAUUAAUCAUAACAAAUGAGAAACUCUUUCUAACGAUCGAUGCAAAUGGUGACAACAGCAUGGGCAGGAAUAUGCCACCACCACAGCAUGUAGUUUCCAAAACAUCAAAGCAGACACCAGCCCUGCAAACAAAGCGUCAGCUGAGAUCAUCCUGCACCACUGGCAAGAGACAAUUUAAUGUGUGUAGCAGACUUUGUCUUUCCAGAAUUGACUUGUUUAGCCAUCAAAGCAAGUACAGCAAAUGAUCUCACCAAAGUUCUGAGGCUCCAUUCUCAUCAUCUAUCACAGAUGGAAGGAUGAAAAAUUAUUUCCAAACACACAACUGUAUUGUAACACUUUGGUAGCCAUAAUAGCCUCCAAAGCAAUGAAAGAUUUAUUUUUUGUCAGUUAACUUCUGAGUGCAGCAGUUAAAUUGAAACAGAGAUACAUGUUAAUUCAAUACUCAGCACUACAGUUGUAAUGCAAUGUCAUUAAAGCAAGCAGAGAGUGUGCAGUGGCUGUUUUUUUAAAUUUUGUCCUGCAGCUCUUCUAUUAUUGGUACAGGGUUGAUAUUGCUGCAUUGAAUUUCUACGCUGACUAUUGAUAAUCUAAUAUUAAUUUCCAGCAUUACAUAUAUUCAGAGUUGCACCAUUAAAAAUCAGUACAUGACUUUCUGAAUAAAGAAAUGUUCAACUGGUUGUGAAUAUAACUUGGAACCCAAACUUACAAUUCACCAGUAUGUAAUAAGUGGAAGACAGAUAACAUGAGCUGCAAUUUAUGGAGAGAUGCUAUAAGGUAGUUAACAUAACAUAGCCUUAAUCAACAAUCAUGAAUGUAAAAUCGAAAGAAGCUAUUAUAAAAUGAGCAAUUGCAGGUUAUGCUAUGCCACCACAUUGAGAACAUUCCCAAUGUGAAUGGAAAUGAUGUACUAAUUUUCAUAAAUGCCUAUGAUUUGCCCCAGAAUAAAGAAUUUAUUGUG